rnacentral:rRNA from 1 species
AUUGAACGCUGGCGGCAUGCCUUACACAUGCAAGUCGAACGGUAACAGGUCUUUCGGGAUGCUGACGAGUGGCGAACGGGUGAGUAAUACAUCGGAACGUGCCUAGUAGUGGGGGGUAACUACUCGAAAGAGUGGCUAAUACCGCAUGAGAUCUAUGGAUGAAAGCAGGGGACCUUUGGGCCUUGUGCUACUAGAGCGGCCGAUGGCAGAUUAGGUAGUUGGUGGGAUAAAAGCUUACCAAGCCUACGAUCUGUAGCUGGUCUGAGAGGACGAUCAGCCACACUGGGACUGAGACACGGCCCAGACUCCUACGGGAGGCAGCAGUGGGGAAUUUUGGACAAUGGGCGCAAGCCUGAUCCAGCAAUGCCGCGUGCAGGAUGAAGGCCUUCGGGUUGUAAACUGCUUUUGUACGGAACGAAAAGUCUUGGGUUAAUACCCUGGGAUCAUGACGGUACCGUAAGAAUAAGCACCGGCUAACUACGUG